GUGGGGAAUAUUGGACAAUGGGGGGAACCCUGAUCCAGCCAUGCCGCGUGUGUGAAGAAGGCCUUUUGGUUGUAAAGCACUUUAAGCGAGGAGGAGGCUACCGAGAUUAAUACUCUUGGAUAGUGGACGUUACUCGCAGAAUAAGCACCGGCUAACUCUGUGCCAGCAGCCGCGGUAAUACAGAGGGUGCAAGCGUUAAUCGGAUUUACUGGGCGUAAAGCGCGCGUAGGUGGCCAAUUAAGUCAAAUGUGAAAUCCCCGAGCUUAACUUGGGAAUUGCAUUCGAUACUGGUUGGCUAGAGUAUGGGAGAGGAUGGUAGAAUUCCAGGUGUAGCGGUGAAAUGCGUAGAGAUCUGGAGGAAUACCGACGGCGAAGGCAGCCAUCUGGCCUAAUACUGACACUGAGGUGCGAAAGCAUGGGGAGCAAACAGGAUUAGAUACCCUUGUAGUCC
rnacentral:rRNA from 1 species